CCAAUAUCAUUCACUAAAACCUAAUAUUUUUGUUAUGUUUUAAGCCCUUGAAAUUGUGUAGCUGUAGUGAUUUUUUGGGGGUAAAAAGUAUUUGUAGUAAUGUUUCUUGACAACUUACAUUUAAAACUUGAUAUUUUUUUUUUAACACUGAGUAUAUCAUUAUAUAAUUUCUACUACGAAUCAUGAUAAACAGCCGUAAUAUAAGUGAUAUUGAUGAACAACUGCACUGGCAAAUUCACGAUGAAACUCUUUCCGUAACAUUUAGAUCGAGAGACCAUUUUACUUGUAAGACAUCUUUAAUGGACAGACUUUUUAUACAUUACAUGAUCGCAACAAACGAUUAUAUCUGCAUUUCUCUGAAAUCUCCGAUAAACUUACAUCAUAUAAUCUGCAAAAACUGAAUUCUUUGGGAAUCGAACUUUAAAUCUAAUGGAGAAACAUUUAAAUUUUAACCACUAUGCCAUUGUGCUUCAAAAAAAUAAUUAGUUCAAAAGUUGAUCCAUAUGAAAUUAAGUUUCAUAAUAAGUGUUAUUUUAACUUUUUUUGUUACAAAAAGUGUAACUUUACAAUUUCAAUGUAAACUAUAUUUACUUUCAGCUGCAAAUUAUAUUUACUUUCAGCUGAAAAUUAAUUGAAAACUACAUUGAUUUUCUAAAUAAUUUUAUUUAUCUCAAAUACUAUUGAUUAGAGGAAUAUAAUUAAUAAUAAUUUACAUAUAUUUCUGCUAUUUUUUUAGUCUUCGUAGAAAAUGUCAAAAUGACGUUUAUUUAGAAACGGAAAGAAUAUGAUUUUAACAAAAUGCAGAUAAAAUGGUACAAUUAACUCGUAACACUGUUUACAUACAGCUGGCAAUGUCAUAAAUACACAUGUCUAGCUGUCUACCAUGAGUUAAUAAGGGAACAAAAUAACUAACUCGUGUAACAGUGUCAAUGAAUAAUUCCGGAUUUUGUACUAUAGUAAUAAUAUUGCUUCAAGUGGACUCCUGAAAAAUAUUAAUUCCCGUAAGUCAUAAAAGCAAAAACUAAAAAAUAUUAUCAGGGAAAAUGGAGAAUAUAAAGAAUUUACGUCAAUUUCAUGCGUCAUUUAUAAUAGAUGGUUUCUCAAUUGGUAAAGAUCUAUAACCGAAAGAGUGCUCAAAGAUACUUUGAAGAUUCAAUGUCUCAUGGAAAGCUUCGCAACAGUCUAGUUAAUACAUGUUUCUUAGAUUCAAAACACAAAGACAUAUAUUCAAUAUAUUCUUGAACGAGGUGCACGUAGUCAAUUGUUCUAUUUCAUUUUCAUGGAUGAUUAGUCCAUUUGUUGGUUAAAAGAGAUCUGUUUAUCAGAGAAUUUGUUUACGCCGAUGAAAAAAAAAUAUUAUUAGUUGAAUUUCUUUUUUUUGUAAGCUUCAUUCUUAACUUAAAUAAAACAGAAAAUGUUAUAGCCCAUAGACUUUAGUUUGUUUAGCCAUAGUACAUAUCAAGGAAUUUGGUCCAUUACCCUUAGUUCUAGGACCCAAAUGAAGCCCACAUGGUUGAAUCAGAAACGAAGCGUUGAAGUUUUUGGAGUGGUGACGUUGGCGUUCACUGAAAUCGAAUCCAACUCAACAUCAUCGUAGACGAUCUGGUCGGGUUUGUGUCUCUGAAAGAUUGAAUCUUGUUUAUCAGUUGCAUGUCCAUUAGUCUAAAAACUUGAUCCACUGAUCGAAAAGUAGAUGCAUGGAGGCGUGUGCUAUGCUCGUUCCAGAGCCAGUACAUGGUCGCUUGCCAUGCUAGUCGAGUAAGGAGUCGCUGGUGUUGCGGAGGGGGGGAGGGAGAUCAUCUGAUUCAGGACUCCCUGCCAAUCUCUAAUCAACAAUAUCUGCAGUCUUCUCACCACAAUUUGCCACAUAUCACAGCUAUAGUUACAUGAGAAGAAGAGAUGAUUCCGAGAUUCUUGACCUGAGUUACAUAACAGACAUCUCUCAUCAACACGAAGUCCCCAACUGAUUAGUCUAUCACGAGUCGGUAGUCUGUUCUGUACAAGAAGCCAGGUGUGGAAACUGUGGCGAGGAAUGGCUUUAGAAAUCCACACAGCUGCUUGCCAUCUAACAUCUAGUCGCGGAGCACACAGAUAAUCAAAUACCACACCAGUUUUGUAGGUGUACAACUGUAUCUGCGCAUCUAAACGAGCUGGUGGUAAGCGCCAUUAUAUGUUAGUGUAGAUAGAGGAGACUGUUGCUUGAUAAGGGAUCCCACGUCUUGAGUCGCAGUUUAAUGAGUGGAAACACAACAUCCUUCAUCUUGAGGAACUUGUUGACAAGCCAUGAAAAUGAUUGCUUCGGAGGUGUUAUCCAGUAGUUAUGCACUGAGCCUUGCAGAAUAGCCUCCUUGAACCAUUGCACCCAUACUGAGUCUGGCCUGAAGAAAAGAAGCCAAAGGAGGCGGAAAGUGCACGCUUUGUUCUAGAAAUAAGCUGCAGAGGGAGUUUAUUCGAUUGAUGCACGCUUUGGGCAAGAUGAAAACAUAGCACCAGAACGUUGUUAUCCCUACAAUGACUGUUUUGAUUAAGAGAAGCCGCCCAGAGAAGGAGAAAGUCUUAACUGACCAUGAAGAGAACCGAGAUUUGACUUGAUGGAUCAGUGGUUCAUAGUUGGUGACAGAGAGCUUUCGGGAGUUCAGUGGAACACCCAAAUAGCGAAACGGGAGAGAUCCUAGAGUCAUUCCAGUUGAAGCUUGUAUCAGAACUUGUAGCACCUGCUGGACGGAUGUAAUGGAACUAUCUAUGAAUAUAAAAAGAUCAUCUACGAAUGAGAGUUGAGUAAGUUUGAUAGAGGAGCAGUUUGAAUGGUUAUUGAAUCUAUUUUUCCUCGCUGCUCUGUUGAGCAUAUGUGACAAGCAAUUCAUCGCAAUGACAAAUAGAUAGGGCUUUCGACUGGCGGAUGAAACGACUUGGGAACUAAAGACCUUCAAGGCAGGAAAACAAGAACUCCCAAGAUAGUGUGUCAAAGGCCUUUGCUAUAUCAACCUUGAUGCAGUAGGGAGGAAGUUUGUGGCAAAGAAGUUCUUGAUAGCUGAGAGAACCUCAGGACCAAUAAUUUCCCACGAAGCUUUGUAGAACGCUGAUGUUAGGCCAUCUGGACCAGGAGCCUUGUUAGGACUUAGUUUGAAGAAAACGGUUUUGAUCUCCUCAUCAGAAGGGAUUGAUAACAUCAGUUGAUUGCAGUGCUCAGGAAAUACAAAGGACGAAAGGUCUUGAAUCCAAUUUGGCUCCGUGAACUGAAGAGUUGGGAAGUAGUACUGCAGCCCAAGCAAAAACUUGAAGUGGUUGACUGCAAGCUCACUCAUUGCAAGGGGAUCAAUCACCCAAGUGCCAUCACAUAGUAGGAAAGCUCGUAUUGCAUUGUAGCUAGCUCUUGUUUGACAGAUUCGCUGGAAAUGGGUAGUGUUAAGGUCUCUCUCAGCUUGGAACAUGGCAUGAUAUGGGUUUUGCAGAGCUUGGACAUGCGCAAUUUGCAACAAACUGGUUUGGAACCAGCUAAAGAAAGGCUAAAAGCUAGGUCAAGUACACAGGGUGAGUGGUCUGAGAAAAAGGGAGGGAGGAAGGAGGAUAUGGCAUGGGGGAAGGAAGCAACAAAUGAGUUGUUCACCAUCAGUCUAUCAUAUUUCUUAGGGAUUGGGAAUGAGGGAUGAGAAUUGAUCCAAGUGAAAGUGGGACCAAUGAAUCGAAGAUCGAAGAGCCCCAGUUGAGUGAAACAAUCUCGCAGCUGAAACAUGAGAUAGUCAGGGACAGUGAUAUCAGGAUCAGAAUGUUCCAUUGGAUGGAUUAUCUGAUUUAGGUCUCCUCCUAGGAUCCAGCUGCUGUUGUCUAAAUCAAGAGUUGAUUGGAGAUGGAUGAGUUCUCUCCAUAGAUCAGCCAGAUCAGAGCUUAAGUUCGAAGCGUAGAGAGCUGAGUAGUAAGUAGAUUGUUGGUUCGGGAAGCAUAGUUUACAUGUGAUGCACUGACAGCUUUGAGAGAGGAUCUGGACGUUGAGAGUGUCUCCCCAGAUUAGGAUGAUCCGACCAUCAGGAUCAGAGUUAUGAUUCAAGUAGAAUUUCCAGGUAGGACAGAGGGCUCCAAAAAGUGGCUUAUUAGUAUUUAGCCAAGAUACAAAGGAUCUAUGCUUGUUCGGGUCAUUUAGGCCUCGAACAUUCCAAAAAAUGAGCUUGACACUCAUUAAGAUAAAAGGGGAGGAUCCUCCGAAAGAAUGGAGGAGUCCUGAGAAGCAGAAGGAAAAGCAAGCUGAAAAGGAGGAACAGAAGAUGUUUUUAGAUCAGUUUUGUGAGAAAUGACAAGAUUUAAAAGAGCAAGAGAUUGAGCGAAAAGGUUAGGAUUUGUGUUUGAGGAGAGGGGUGGGGAAAGGGUAGGCGAAGAACGAGAUCUUUUAAGUGAAGGUCUAGGGACAGGUUCAGGAGUUAUGAAGGGAUUAGAAGCUAAGGUGUUCAAGAGGGGACGGUUUGAAACAUAGACAUGAACAAUAGGCAGGGGAUGGGAUACAGAAGGUAGAGGGACUACAGACAUGACAUGCAAGGAACCAGAUGGAGGGGCAUGUGGGACCACAAUAGCAACAGUUUCUGUACAGAGCCCGCAACAAGAGGAACAUGUACUGUUGCAGUAGACGGCAUCGACUUAGCAAGAGGAAUCUCUUUAGGCUUCUGCAUCCAACAGAGGAGGAGUGUACAGUAGGCAGUUUCUCACAAUAUGACCUAGCUCUUGAAAGUGAGAGCAAGUCGGUGGAACCCAAGAUAGUGAACUGAGACUUCUACAACCUCACCAUCUUCCCUUUCAAAUUCAACAACAGAAGGGAGCUGUUUUGUAAGAUCUACCUCCACCUUUACAUGAUAUAAGGUCAAGAGGCACUCCAGUGAGGUGACCCCAUAUCUUGAUAGCCUUCAAUGGUGGAGUAGACUUUGAGUGAGCUGAGGACCAUUGGGCAGUGUGAAACAUCAAAUCUCCAAUGUACCACUUGUCCAAAAUCUUUUGUCUAAGUGUCCGAAAUGAGUACUCGAGGCCUCCCAUUAGGAACCAUGGUCACUGGAGCAAAACGUCGCAUCGUCUUAUUCUCUGAAAGUCGAAUUCGCUCUACCAGAGUUGGUGGAGCAGCCUAAGUUUGGAAGGGGACAGUGGCAUGGUUUAAAUGGUUAUGAGAAGGAGUUUGGUUCGAUUCAAGCUGAAUAGUGGGAUUAGGGUUUGUGACUGAUGGUUGAGAGCAGGAGGCUUUGUUAUUUUGGAUUGGGGAAGAAGGUUUAGGUGGGAUUAUUGAGAAGGAUUUUCUAGUACUUUCCUCAAGCUAAGGUCCUUGAAUAGUAGUUUUUAUGGAACCAGUUGACAUCGAGGAAGUAUCAUCUACCUCACAUACAUAAGGAGCAGUUGAGACAGCAGUUGGAACUUGGAAUGCUCUUGCAGUUGAAGAUUUGGACCCUUUACUUGCCAUAGAAGGAACAAUUGUUGAUCUCGUAACAGUACCAAAUAUGUAGUUAGGAGAGGGUUUGGGGGUGGUUUUGGCUUCAGAUAAGGUUGGGAAAUUUUACGGUGAUAAUGGAGAUGAGGGGACAAAGGGAUCCGGAGGGGUGGGAUGAAGGGGUGGUGGUUCGCCAGCAGCUACAGACGACGGAUUCUCACCGGAAAAACAUCCAGGAACUCGCCAUUUUGAUUGCAUUGGAAAACGUUCAGAGAGGUUUUGACUUUUAUUUCUUAGUUUUAAUUAGUUGAAUUCCUCCUUGCAUAAAAAACAUGGUCAUCUAUCGAACAUUACUAAUUUAUGAUAAAAUAGAAUGUUUCAUGUUAAUGGUUCCAUUUCUAAAAAGGUUAUUCAAAUGUUGGUGGGGUGGAAAACGAUUUGUUAAUUUUAAAUGGUCUUGGUACAGAAUCAAAGAUUACAUGAUAAAUUUUUCUCCAGAAAAACAUGCAUUGCUAGGCUUGAAUCUACAUUCACUUUCUCGUA